CUCUCUCUCUCUCUCUCUCUCUCUGAUUCGCAAAUACACAAAGGAAAGUGAAAUAGAAAUAUGCAAAGACGCACCAUAUACGCAUGGGCAGUGGCGAUUGUCUGCUUCGUAGUACUGAUGAUUGUGACUCCGGCCAUUCCUCAAUCUGAAGAAUAUCACGAUUUCGCUGAUCAACGCGAAUUCUUUGGAAUACCCAAUACUCUGAAUGUCAUUUCGAAUUUUCCUUUCCUUGUUAUUGGAGUGAUUGGACUUGUGCUUUGCUAUCAUGGGAAUUAUUUUAAGCUGAGCCUACAAGGUGAGCUUUGGGGUUGGACAUGUUUUUUCCUUGGUGUGGCUGCUGUUGCUUUUGGCUCUGGAUACUACCAUCUCAAGCCUGAUGAUGCCCGCCUUGUGUGGGAUCGCCUGCCGAUGACUGUUGCAUUCACAUCAAUUAUUGCGAUUUUUAUCAUUGAAAGGAUUGAUGAGAGAAAGGGCACAAUAUCCAUUUUACCUUUAAUAUUGGCCGGUAUUAUAAGCAUUGCAUAUUGGAGGUUUUUUGAUGACCUCCGCCCAUAUGCACUAGUCCAGUUUGUUCCUUGCAUUGCUAUUCCACUAAUGGCUAUCUUGUUACCUCCAAUGUAUACCCAUUCUGCAUAUUGGCUUUGGGCAGCAGGAUUUUAUCUUUUAGCUAAGGUGGAAGAAGCGGCAGAUAAACCAAUUUACAGAUGGACUCAUCAUAUCAUCAGUGGGCACACCCUCAAGCAUUUAUGUGCUGCAAUGGUUCCUAUCUUCUUGACACUUAUGCUUGCAAAGAGGAGUAUUGAAACAGAGAGGAUAAGUCUCUAUAAGAGGUGGAAGAUUUCAUCAUGGACAGAAGUCAAAGAAAAUGGUGCAAAGGUGGAAAGUUAUACUUGUACCUAUACAAAUGUACCAGUUGCAGAAUCACCUUAAUCCGAUACACACGAAUAUCAUUCAAUGUGAUUGAGCAUUUGUAUGUAGACCAAAACCAAAAAGUUCACUCUAACCUGGUUACUG
rnacentral:misc_RNA from 1 species